rnacentral:sRNA from 1 species
CGCUUUCAGGUUGCAGCCUGAUUAGUCCGCAAGGAUAACUCAGGCUGAUGGCUGGUGACUGAUUGGUCACCAGCCU